rnacentral:rRNA from 1 species
GACGAACGCUGGCGGCGUGCCUAAUACAUGCAAGUUGAGCGCUGAAGGUUGGUACUUGUACCAACUGGAUGAGCAGCGAACGGGUGAGUAACGCGUGGGGAAUCGGCCUUUGAGCGGGGGACAACAUUGGGAAACGAAGGCUAAUACCGCAUAAAAACUUUAAACACAAGUUUUAAGUUGGAAAGAGGCAAUUGCAUCACCCAAAGAUGAUCCCGCGUGUUAUUAGCUAGUUGGUGAGGAAAAGGCUCACCAAGGCGAUGAUACAUAGCCGACCUGAGAGGGUGGUCGGCCACCUUGGGACUGAGACACGGCCCAAACUCCUACGGGAGGCAGCAGUAGGGAAUCUUCGGCAAUGGACGAAAGUCUGACCGAGCAACGCCGCGUGAGUGAAGAAGGUUUUCGGAUCGUAAAACUCUGUUGGUAGAGAAGAACGUUGGUGAGAGUGGAAAGCUCAUCAAGUGACGGUAACUACCCAGAAAGGGACGGCUAACUACGUG